rnacentral:rRNA from 1 species
CCUACGGGUGGCAGCAGUGAGGAAUAUUGGUCAAUGGACGAGAGUCUGAACCAGCCAAGUAGCGUGAAGGAUGACUGCCCUAUGGGUUGUAAACUUCUUUUAUAUGGGAAUAAAACGUUCCACGUGUGGGAUUUUGUAUGUACCAUAUGAAUAAGGAUCGGCUAACUCCGUGCCAGCAGCCGCGGUAAUACGGAGGAUCCGAGCGUUAUCCGGAUUUAUUGGGUUUAAAGGGAGCGUAGGUGGAUUGUUAAGUCAGUUGUGAAAGUUUGCGGCUCAACCGUAAAAUUGCAGUUGAAGCUGGCAGUCUUGAGUACAGUAGAGGUGGGCGGAAUUCGUGGUGUAGCGGUGAAAUGCUUAGAUAUCACGAAGAACUCCGAUUGCGAAGGCAGUUCACUGGACUGCAACUGACACUGAGGCUCGAAAGUGUGGGUAUCAAACAGGAUUAGAUACCCCUGUAGUC